rnacentral:misc_RNA from 1 species
GGAUAAUCAAAUUGAAAUCUGGCACCUGAUCAUUUCCAGUUGUAAAUAUAUUUAAAACAUAGGAGGUAGCAAUAAUGAGUCCACAUAUCACCUCUGUAGAGUGGUCCCUUGAGAAGCUUUCGAAAGCACCAACACUUCCCCAUCCAUGGCAAGGUGAGAGGACAGAGAUCAUUCUAUGUUGGUAUGAUAAGAUCCAGCCAUCUCACCAUUGCCCAAUUCAAAUGUAGUAACCUUAAAUCUCUUCUUCUCCCCAUCAAUUCUAUGAGGCUAUGGCAGGGAACUCUUGUAUUCUUUAUACAUUUUCUUCUCGUUAAAACAAGAGAACAACGACUUAAUGGAAAGUUAUAAAAUGGAAUGCACCAUAUUUGUUGGUUUUCCGCCUCAUUCUUAUUUUUCUGGCAUGCACUCGGUACAAAAUAAGCUUUCCUUUUUUAUUUAUUCCAUCACAGGGUAAUGUAUAUAAAAACUACAAAAAACAAGAGUAACAAGAAUAUCAAAUCUUCUAAGUUGAACUGGAGACAGGUUGUUCUUGAGUAGAGAAGCUUUCUCGUAAGGCAUGCUAAUCUUGCUUGCUUAUUGCAAUUCAAACCAGUCAAGCAGAAGUCAUAUCAGAUCGUCCUCCUGUCAUCCUCUCAGCUUGGUCUCCACGCUCACCGGUGCGAACUCUUAUUACAUCUGAAACAGGCACCAAGAAAAUCUUGCCAUCUCCAAGCUCUCCGGUCCUUGCCUCCUCAAUGAUCUUUUCUAUCACGGCCUCAACCUGGUCUUUGCUCACCACAAUCUCCAUCUUAACUUUAGCAACAAACUUGUCUUCAGAAAAUUCAGAGCCACCUUGCCUCUCUGUUGAACCACCUUGAGCACCAAAACCUCGAACAUCAGAAACAGUAACACCUCGGAUACCAAUUUUUAGCAAAGCCUUCAUUUUUUAUAGCAGAAAUAAAAGAAUUAUUACUAAAACUAUGCAACUCGGAUGUUUAGUGAAUAUGAAACCUUCAGAAAUUCAACAAUUGGCAAAGUAUGUGUGCACGUGUGUAGGUCAAAUGAUAACUAAAUGAAACAAACCACUGGUAACAUAACAAAAAUCAAGACAAUAGACCUUAAUUAACCAGCAAUAGGAAUAUACAACCAACCUUAUAUAUGAUCAAAGUACAGUAAUAAAGAAAUUACCGACGUCACCCCCUUGAAUUAUGGUCCUAAACCAGCAAAUUUCAACCACAUGCCAUAAUUAUCAUCAAGGAUUUAAAGUGAGAACCGUUAGGCACUGUCUUCAGUGAAUUCUCUCGUGAUGUACUAGAAAACUCUUUUGACAAAAUUUUGAAAAUAAAAGUUGCCAAACUUUAAAGUUGUACAAUACAUAAUUGUAGCUAAAGAUAUCACUAAAGAUAAGAUGGUGAAUUUAACCAGCAAAUCGAAAAAAUUUCCUUCAUGCACAACAAAGUCCAAAUACUGCAAGAAAUUUAAGAACCUGCGCAUUGCAUUAUUGAAAAGACCCAUAAACCAGGAAAAAAAGGUUCAAUAGCUCUUACAGAGGAAACUUGCGAGACUCGCCAGGGCCUAUUACCUCCCAAACGCAGCAGCACAGUGGAAAGAUGGUAAUAGAAUUAGAGAUGUUAACCUCAAUAAGCUCGUCUUAAAGCAAAAGCAUUGAAGAUCACAUAUAAAUUAUUUUUCUUUAAAAAAAAAGUUACUUAAAGCAUGAAAACACCUUAGAAUCGCUUCCACUCUGUAGAAUUUUGCAUCCGGAAUAUACUCUACGAACAAUCAAAUACAAAAUGCAUCAAGUAUUCGACACACCCAACUAACUCGUUUUACUGCUAAACUUGCAUAAUAUUAUUAGAGACCAGCAAAAUUGUUUUUCCAGGGAAAAAAAUCCAUACCAGGGAAGCUUUGGGCUCUAAGUACAGGAACGACAGGCGCAGUUCUUACGUGCCUUAAAGUCGGGUUGAAGCGAGAAAAUCGAGAAUCUCUAAUCUUGGGACGAAUGAAGGUGGAAUCAAAAGGAGGGAAAUGUUUCCUGAGAUGAGAAUGGACAGGAGUGAGAGAGACUGGUUUCGCCGUGGCGGCCAUUUUCAGGUGAAUUUGAAAAAUGUAACAGGAAAUUUGGGUGCUUUUGGAGGCGGAGUAAAGAGAAGAGGGUAGCAAGGACAAGCAGUGCCUCGCAAAUAACGCCGCCUUUCAGUUUGGGAACUCUUUCAAAUGACACGUGUGGAAUCCCACUCCCACUUUUUAUAGAGCUGGGCUCAACUUUACUGGGCUCUCAGCCCAACCCUUUUCAACAGUAUUUUAAACUUCCUUUUUUUCUUUUUUUCAAUUUACUUAGCAUAAUGAAUUUCGUCCACACGGCUAGAUAAGAUUUGGUAGUUGCGGUGGCCCGCGGGCAGCGGCGUUUUCACAAAGCCGAGGACAUGGAUUCAAAAGAGGAAGCGAGUGGGAGUGAAGGCGAAGAGUACGUGUACAGGAUUAGUACGGCUAAGGAGUGGGAAGUCUUGCAGAAAGAUAGAUCUAUUUUUGGUGGAGAUCUUGAUAAAUCGUCCGGUUUUAUCCACCUCAGCAAGCUCCACCAGGUUAAGUCAACAUUGCAAAACUUCUUCUUGAACACUAAUUUGGAGUUGUAUUUGCUUCAAAUUGACGCUAAGAAGGUAUGUGUUUUGUGAUUCUAAAUUAACGAUGGCUUUCCUUGAAAUUUAAGUGAACUUGCACUAGACACCUUCCGAAAGAUUAAUUAUGCUUGGGGAUGAUGAUCAUUAGAAAGCGCAAAAGCCCUCAUAAUUGUUAUUAUUGGAGAUUUUAUAAGAAUUACAGUUCUGCAUAUUUUAGUUCAUUCAGGUAACUCUUUCUGAAGAUUUUCAUUCUUAAUUCACCGCUGGUGUUACUUGAACUGAGCCCACAAUAUGGUUAAAUGGCUUAAUUGGAGUCACUCAUACCCUAAAUAUAUAAUUUGAAUAAAACAGUUUAUGUUUCCAUGUAAUUUAAGUUGCCAUAAGUAUAGUUAGUUACCUCAAGUGUUAGUCCAAGGAUGCUUAAAAAACCAGAUUGGAGGAUAAAAUGAAUGUCUUUUUUGUUUUGUUUCUGUCAAUAACUUUGAAUUCAUGGACUGAUGUAUGUUGCCUAUUAAUUCUUGAGAAAUACUUCCAAAGCCCUAGUUAAGGCAUUAGAGCUGUUGUCAAUUGCAGGUGCUGAUGGAAGGAUAGUUAGGCUAAAAAGGAAUUAAGAGGAGGGAUUAAAAUCCUGAUUUGCUAAAGCCAAGGAUGGAAUGGUGAGGAAGAUGAUGUAGUAGUAGUUUAAGUCACUUGAUAGCAUGUUUUUGUAUUGAUCAAACUUAUAUUUUCUGUUGAGUAGAUUUAAUAGGAAGUGACAUAGUAAUAAUGAAGAAGUUACUUGAUUGGCAAUAUGAAUACAUCUUAAUCAAUCCAAAGGUUUCAUAAUUUAAGUUACCUGGUGAAACAUGAGCUCCCUUUUAACUUGUGUAUUUUUGGCAGCUUGGGGAUGGAUUGAUAUAUGAAGUUGUAGAUGGUACCAAUAGCUUCCCCCAUUUUUAUGGGCCGAAACGAAGUUUCAUUCCUCUCCCUUUCGAGGCAGUUGUCAAAGCAGAGAAGAUUACCGUAUCAGAUGGCCAGUUCAUUUGUAGUCUGUUGAAUUAAGCUGUUAUAUUGUGAUUUGACAUAUUAUUCAGGCAUUUUGUUGUGAAUCUCUUGGACAUAAGAGACGGGCAUUUUCUUGUAUGGAUCAUAUAAUUGUAGCAUACAAUCGUAAAGUUGUGUUAGAUAAUUUGUCGUCCUUUUUUUUUUAUAUAUAUGUAGAGAACAG